rnacentral:rRNA from 1 species
UCCUGGCUCAGGACGAACGCUGGCGGCGUGCCUAAUACAUGCAAGUAGAACGCUGAAGAGAGGAGCUUGCUCUUCUUGGAUGAGUUGCGAACGGGUGAGUAACGCGUAGGUAACCUGCCUUGUAGCGGGGGAUAACUAUUGGAAACGAUAGCUAAUACCGCAUAACAAUGGAUGACACAUGUCAUUUAUUUGAAAGGGGCAAUUGCUCCACUACAAGAUGGACCUGCGUUGUAUUAGCUAGUAGGUGAGGUAACGGCUCACCUAGGCGACGAUACAUAGCCGACCUGAGAGGGUGAUCGGCCACACUGGGACUGAGACACGGCCCAGACUCCUACGGGAGGCAGCAGUAGGGGAAUCUUCGGCAAUGGGGGCAACCCUGACCGAGCAACGCCGCGUGAGUGAAGAAGGUUUUCGGAUCGUAAAGCUCUGUUGUAAGUCAAGAACGAGUGUGAGAGUGGAAAGUUCACACUGUGACGGUAGCUUACCAGAAAGGGACGGCUAACUACGUGCCAG